rnacentral:rRNA from 1 species
AACGAACGCUGAUGGCGUGCCUCAUACAUGCAAGUCGAGCGAGAAGCCGGUGCUUGCACCGGUGGACAGCGGCGGACGGGUGAGCAACACGUAAACAAUCUACCCUGGGGUUGGGGAUAACCCGCCUAACGGCGGACUAAUACCGAAUAGCGUUGUUUUUUCACAUGGAGAGACAACGAAAGGCGCUUGCGCCGCCCCUGGAUGAGUUUGCGUCCCAUUAGCCAGUUGGUAGGGUAACGGCCUACCAAAGCUUUGAUGGGUAGCCGGCCUGAGAGGGUGAACGGCCACAUUGGCACUGAGAUACGGCCCAGACUCCUACAGGAGGCAGCAGUAGGGAAUUUUGCGCAAUGGGGGAAACCCUGACGCAGCAACGCCAUGUGUGGGAUGAAGCAUUUAGGUGUGUAAACCACUGUCGGCAGGGAAUAAGGUCCGCCUUGGGCGGAU